AAGAAAAGAAGCAUGCAGGGCUCCCCAUUCAGUUUAAGCAUAUUAAUAAGUGGAGGAAAAGAAACUAACAAGGAUUCCCUUAGUAAUGGCGAGCGAACCGGGAAAAGCACACCAUGAGAAUCGGUUGCCCUCAGUGUGUGAAUUGUAGUUUGGAGAAGCGUCCUCAGCGAUGGACCGGGUACAUAUCCCCUGGAAAGGAACGCCAGAUAGAGUGAGAGCCACAUCAUGAUCGGACCCUGCCGCACCACGAGGCGCUGUCUGCGAGUCAGGUUGUUUAGGAAUGCAACCCCAAUCGGGCAGUAAAUUUGUCGAAGGCUAAAUAUUGGCGAGAGACCGAUAAAUAAAAAGUAUCCCGAGGGAAAGAUGUAAAGGACUUUGAAAAGAGAGUCAAAGAGUGCUAGAAAAUGUCAGGAGGGAAGCGGAUAAAGGCCGACGACGUGCCUCGGUCGGAUGUCGAACAGUGAGAGUCAGUCCACCAAUGGACUCGGGUCAUGGACCGAUGCGAAUUGUGAUGGAGGCCCAAGCUUGGGCUGUUGACAUCCUUGUGGAGGCGUCAUCAUUGCGAGUGUGGUUGGAAGCACGUGCCAUUUAGUGUGCUUCAGCACCUAUGUGCAGCGGGCGUCGGCCUAUGGGCUCCCCAUUUGGCUCGUCUUGAAACAGGGACCAAGGAGUCUGACAUGUGUGUGAGUCAGCAGGAAAGUAAAACCAUAAGGCGUAAGGAAGCUGAUUGGUGGGAUCCCCUUGUGGGUUACACCGCCGACCAACCCUGAUCUUAUGUGAAGUGUUCGAGUGAAAGCAUACAUGUCGGGUCCCGAAAGAUGGUGAACAAUGCCUGAGCAGGGAGAAGCCAGAGGAAACUCCGGUGGAGGUGAAAGACUAAUCGAAUCGUCUAGUGGCAGUUUCCCUCUGAAGUUUCUAUCAAGUAAAGCCAAUGAUUAGAGGCAACAGGGACGCAACACCCUCGACCUGUUCUCAAACUUUAAAUAGGUAGGACAACGUGGCUGCUUUGUUGAGCCACGCCACACAAUCGAGACCUCUAAGUGGGCCAUUUUUGGUAUGUAGAACUGGCGAUACGAUUUGAACCGGAAGUUAGGUUGCCCUUCCCAACUAUGCGCUAACCUAGACCUCACAAAGGGUUGUUGGUCGAUAAGACAGCAUGACGAUGGUCAUGGAAGUUGAAAUUUGCUAAAGAGUGUCUAACAACUCACCUGUCGAAUCAACUAGCCCCGAAAGUGGAUGGUGCUAAAGCAUGCGACCUAUUCUCGGGUGUCGGGGCAAGGGCCAGACCUCGAUGAGUAGGAGGGUACAACAGUCCUGCAAAACCUAUGGUGUGAGCUCGGGCAGAGCGGUCAUCGGUGCAGAUCUUGGUGGUAGUAUCAAAUAUUCAAAUGAGAACUUUGAAGGCUGAAGAGGGGAAAGGUUCCAUGUGAAUGGCACUUGAACAUGAGUUAGUCGAUACUAAGGGAUGGGGUAAGCCCAUCUGAUAGCACUCUAAGUGCGCACUCCGAAAGGGAAUCAGGUUAAAAUUCCUGAACCGGGACGUGGCGGCUGGUGGCAACGUUAGGGAGUCCGGAGAUGUCGGCAGGCCCCCCGGAAAGAGUUAUAUUUUCUGUUUAAUAGUCUGCCCACCCUAGAAACGGCUUAGUUGGAGCUAGGGUCCAGCGGUUGGAACAGCACCGCACAUCGCAUAGUGUCUGGUGCGCCCCCAGCGACCCUUGCAGGAAUGCUUGGAAUAUUAUUCUAAACAUUUCCCAAGUUACGACAAAGUAACAUCGAGGCAUUUAGUCAAAUGAUUUUCAGUGCGGUAGACGCCAUGGUACCAUGACGAACAACAUCGCCUAGGAGUUGAAUUUCGACUUGAGACUUU
rnacentral:rRNA from 1 species